AACUUUCGGCAACGGAUCUCUUGGCUCUCGCAUCGAUGAAGAACACAGCGAAAUGUGAUAAGUAAUGUGAAUUGCAGAAUUCAGUGAAUCAUCGAAUCUUUGAACGCACCUUGCACCCUUUGGUAUUCCAAAGGGUAUGCUCGUUUGAGUGUCAUUGUACUCUCAUACUCUCUGAUCUUAGGAUUGGGAGUGGUGGACUUGGGUGUUGCUGCUUCACUGUGGCUCACCUGAAAUGCAUUAGUGCAACUCUUGACUAACCAUAGUAUGGCAUGAUAAGCAUCUUUGCCAGCACCUCUCCGGAGGGUGGUCAGUCAAGAGCUCUGUGCUUCUAACUGUCUUUGGACAAUCUUGACAACUUGACCUCAAAUCGAGUAGGACUACCCGCUGAACUUAAGCAUAUCAAUAAGCGGAGGCU
rnacentral:misc_RNA from 1 species